UAGAGGCAGCAGAGACAGGAAUGGAGCCAAGGCAGCCGAGGCAGGAGGCGGGAGGGAAAGCAGCU
rnacentral:sRNA from 1 species